AACGUAGGAGGCGAGCGUUAUCCGGAUUUACUGGGCGUAAAGCGCACGCAGGUGGCCGUGCAGGUCGGACAUGAAAGCUCCUGGCUUAACUGGGAGAGGUGGUUCGAAACCGCACAGCUUGAGGUUGGGAGAGGGACGUGGAAUUCCCGGUGUAGUGGUGGAAUGCGUAGAUAUCGGGAGGAACACCAGUGGCGCAAGCGGCGUCCUGGCCCACACCUGACGCUGAGGUGCGAAAGCGUGGGGAGCAAACAGG
rnacentral:rRNA from 1 species